AACUUUUAGAGGAGAAGUCAACCGCGCCGCCGCGCCUAGCUGCCGGAAACGCCAUUGCUGUCGCUAGACGGCUUUGUCGGUCCCUGCUGCCGCUUGAGGUGGCUGCCGGGCUGCAGCCGAACCGGUUCGGAGACCGUCGCUAUUCGGUUCAGCCAUUCUCCCUCGGUCUUGGGUUGUAUAUCGAUGCUUGCGUGUCGUGCUCGGUGUUCGCGGCUGCUUCGUUUCGCUAACUCAGUAAGUAAUUUAU